UUCCGGUUGAUCCUGCCGGACCUUACUGCUAUCGGGAUGAGACUAAGCCAUGCAUGUCGAGCGCUCUCAAGCUAUGUAGAGAGCGCGGCGAACGGCUCCGUAACACGUAGUUAACCUACCCUCGGGAUGGGGAUAACCCCGGGAAACUGGGAUUAAUACCCACUAGAUGAUUAUACCUGGAAUGGCUUAUCAUCGAAAGAGUCUGGAAACAUGCUUCCAGCGUCGCCCGAGGAUGGGACCGCGUCCGAUCAGGUUGUUGGUGGGGUAACGGCCUACCAAGCCUAUAACCGGUACGGGCCCUGAGAGGGGGAGCCCGGAGAUGGAAACUGAGAAAAGGUUCCAGGCCCUACGGGGUGCAGCAGGCGCGAAACCUCCACAAUGCGCGAAAGCGUGAUGGGGUUAUCCCGAGUGCCGUCCGAUGAGGAUGGCUUUUCAUCGGUGUAAGGAUCCGAUGGAAUAAAGGGGGGGCAAGACUGGUGUCAGCCGCCGCGGUAAUACCAGCCUCCUGAGUGGUAAGGACGAUUAUUUGGCCUAAAGCGUUCGUAGCCGGCUUAUCAAGUCUUUUGUUAAAUCCAACGAUUCAAUCGUUGGGCCGCAAAAGAUACUGUUAUGCUAGAGGACGGGAGAGGUCGACGGUAUUCCAGGGGUAGGGGUGAAAUCCUAUAAUCCUUGGAGGACCACCAGUGGCGAAAGGCGGUCGACUAGAACGUGCCUGACGGUGAGGGACGAAAGCUGGGGGAGCGAACCGGAUUAGAUACCCGGGUAGUCCCAGCCGUAAACGAUGCGGGCUAGUGUGGGGCAGCCACGAGCUGCUCCAGUGCGCAGAGAGUAUAAGCCCGCCGCUGGGGAGUACGGCGCAGCUGAACUAAGAUGCGGGGAGCACACAGGGUGAGCUGCGUAUGGACUCACGCCGGA
rnacentral:rRNA from 1 species